GGGCAUUCCCAUAUCUUUUACUAUAAUGAGCCUACCCUCUCUCUUUUCUGUUCGUAGUCAAAGAUAUUGAAACUGAUAUACAGAAUAUUAGGAGGGCUCUUCCGACCAGACAAAAAUCUAAAAUUGUCAGCAAAGUUGUUUAUUUAUUUGUUUUUUAUUUAAAAAAAUAAAAAUUAUUAUAUUUUCUUUUUUUUGUAUUUACCUUUUUAUUUAAAU
rnacentral:misc_RNA from 1 species